UACGAAGGGGGCCAGCGUUGCUCGGAAUCACUGGGCGUAAAGCGCACGUAGGCGGAUCGUUAAGUCAGGGGUGAAAUCCUGGAGCUCAACUCCAGAACUGCCUUUGAUACUGGCGACCUUGAGUUCGGGAGAGGUGAGUGGAACUGCGAGUGUAGAGGUGAAAUUCGUAGAUAUUCGCAAGAACACCAGUGGCGAAGGCGGCUCACUGGCCCGAUACUGACGCUGAGGUGCGAAAGCGUGGGGAGCAAACAGG
rnacentral:rRNA from 1 species